CCCACGUCAUCAACUUCCGCUAUUUAAGUGAAAGCCGGUUGAAAUUUAAUUUUUUGACAGUUGUUACAGCUGUAUUACCAAAAUGGUCGAGUUUGGAUCAGGGCCGAUAAAGGAGAGCAUCGACAAUACUGUAUUUAUUGUCCCAGGAAUAAUUAUAGGGUUCUUAGUCAUAUUCUUCACCUACAAACUUGUGAAAAGUCUAAGAGAAAAGGAGAGACUGAAGGAAGAAAAGAAGAAGUUAAAACAGCAAAGAAAAGAAAAAGAAAGUGCCAAAAAAAUUAAGAAAAAAAUAUAAUGUGAUAAUGUUGUAGGUAAAUGUUUGUAAUUCAUGUUGAAGUAUAGUUUAAUGUGUGUUUGGAAAGAGAAAUUGGUAAAGUGAUUUUCAAAGAUAAUCAAAGGAGAUGGAAAUACAAGUUGCGAAGAAUUUUGACCAAGAACCUAGAAACAGUGAUUUUAAAACAGUGAUUUUGAGAAUGCACGAAGAAAUUUGGAAGCCAAAGUUUGAACCCAUAAAGAAAUUUGGCAGUCAAGGAUCCUUUCAUUUGAAGAAAAGUGUUACAACAUUAUAUUAAUACUUGUAAAUGGUGAAGAUUGUGUUCAGAUGGAUGUUUCUGUUAAUGAUUUAAAGUUUUCAAUCAAUGAGUUGACGCAAUAUAUUUAAAUCUCUAUAGAUUUUUAUUUUUACCUUUUUUAUUGAAAGAGAAAAAAAACAUCACUGGUGUCUCGAUAACUUGUAGCUCAUCAUGUUACAACUUUCAAAAGUCAUGCUGUCAUCAUAUGUUUAGACUUGGACAAUGGUUCCUGAAUCAUUGAAUAUUUGGUUUGAAUAUUAUUGUUAUAUAUUUAAUGCAUUCCAUUGUGUGAAUGUAGAUUAAUAGAAUUCAUUCUGUGCAAAACUAGUCUUAUAAAUUUUUACUAAAUUCUACUUUCAGUGUGCCAUUUAAUGUUAAUUUUCAAACCAUUUCGGUUCCAGAAUAUUUAAAAAAAAAUGAAUUUCAGCAAAAUGGGAAUUAAAUGUAUUGACAUGAAACAUGUAUGGCUGUAAAUCAUUUGCUAUGAUAGAUAAGCACAAGUGAAAAAUGGUGAACAAAAUCAGAAUAGAAUGUUACUGAAAUUGACUUGGAAAGGCAUAUCAAAAACUUAAUACUAUUGAUAGUUUGGCUACACAGACAAUUAUUUGAUCAGAUUAUGUGGAGAAUAACUUUGUACAUUUGUCAGUUAAAUCUGACAAAUGUCAAUUAUUUUGUGACAUUUGAAUGAUGCAAGUCAUCAGAACAGUUGGUUAUGUGUUAAUGUUUUAAGUUAAUGAUUUAGGUUGUACUAUGACUUAGGAGAAAGAAGAGUUUAUACUCUCAUCAUUAAUAUUAAACAGAAAACCACAUAUUUAGGUAUUUUUAAAUUUGCUUUACAUCCUUGGGAAUGAAAGAAGAAUUUUGAAAUUCGACCAUCCGAGGGGCUAAAAAGCAUUCCAGUCUCUGGUAUUCUUCGAUUUUGAUAGGGAAACACCAAACUCUUAAUUAGUUGUGGCCUCAUAUGCAAGAGAGGUAUUUAACUUUCUUUCACAUUUUUCUAGAAUUUAUGCAACGGUCAUUGACAAGUUUUAUUAUUAUUUAUAAAACAGUUCAAUAAUUUGGUUUUUGAAGGACCACAAUGUUUUAGUAAGCAUUUCAUUUUUACUUGUUUUUAAUAUUUGUUUGUAUAAAUUUCUUUUUCAGACAUUCUGUCAUGUCUGUACUGAAACUUUCACCAGUGAAUAUAGGACAAAUAUUAUUACUGUAGAUAUACGUGUAAUAACUAGUAAGUUUUUACCAAUUCACAGUUUCUUUAUUCCGCUAGUACUUUGUGACCAAACUUUUGCAAUAAUGUCAAUGAUACUGAUGUAUUUUAGUUUUUAAAUCUAAAAAUAACUGUUAAAAAUUAUUUCCUGAAACGCAAUACUAAAUCUGUCUGUGAAAUGUUUUAUAUUCAGUCGUUACAUUUUGAUAGAAUCAUGUUCAUGUGUUUGUAUUGUUAUUGGACGCAUUUCUUUUAUAAUAAGCCUUUUUCAUCGUUGUACAUUUUGUAAUUGAUGUUGCAUCAAAUAACUACAUAAUUAUUUUGUGUAUUAGACAACUGUAUUUAUAAUUUGUUGUUUAUCAUAACAUUCACUCUUGUGAAGCAUUUUGGUGGCAAGAUUAUUAAAGAAAACCAGUAAAUCAUA